UACGAAGGGGGCUAGCGUUGCUCGGAAUUACUGGGCGUAAAGCGCACGUAGGCGGCUUUCUAAGUCGGGGGUGAAAUCCUGGAGCUCAACUCCAGAACUGCCUUCGAUACUGGAGAGCUUGAGUCCGGGAGAGGUGAGUGGAACUGCGAGUGUAGAGGUGAAAUUCGUAGAUAUUCGCAAGAACACCAGUGGCGAAGGCGGCUCACUGGCCCGUUACUGACGCUGAGGCACGAAAGCGUGGGGAGCAAACAGG
rnacentral:rRNA from 1 species